UUAGUCAUUUUGGCCACAGUUUAGUAACUUUGGCAUUUCUGUUAUUCCCACAGGGCAACUGAAGCUCUCAUACCUGAUGUUCAAUGACGGGAAAAUUCUGGGGAAAUUGGAUAGAGAUGAAGCACAUACGUAUGAGCAUCACUGAGCUGUAUUACCACAUGGCUGUGGCAGCCUCCUCAGACUCAGCAGCUCGUACGCUCACACUCAGUCAAUGAUAAACACUUUGAGUACAUCAAAGCACUGCGGAAAAUGUUCACUGGUGUCAAAUGUGGUAUCAUCAACAUAUCACAGAAAAACCGAGAUUAAUCAUAAGCUACCAACCUCCUCACAUAGGUAGAAAACAGGUAUGAAACUCUUGCUUCCCUGGUGUCUGAGACUUUUUAAUGCUUCCUCCUUCCCUUGUUUCCUACUCCCAUUGCCACAUAUUUGAAUUUAUUCUUCUGACCCUCUGGACUUCUUUCCUGUCUCUUCCUAUACCUGAUCCUGUCCCUAUUU
rnacentral:lncRNA from 1 species